AUUGAACGCUGGCGGCAGGCCUAACACAUGCAAGUCGAGCGGACCGGCGGACGGGUGCGUAAUGCCUAGGAAUCUGCCCGGUAGUGGGGGAUAACGUACGGAAACGGGCGCUAAUACUGCAUCCUCUCAGAUGAGGCUAGGGCGGAUUAGCUAGUUGGUGGGGUAAAGGCCUACCAAGGCAACGACCCGUAGCUGGUCUGAGAGGAUGAUCAGUCACACUGGAACUGAGACACGGUCCAGACUCCUACGGGAGGCAGCAGUGGGGAAUAUUGGACAAUGGGCGAAAGCCUGAUCCAGCCAUGCCGCGUGUAUGAAGAAGGUCUUCGGAUUGUAAAGCACUUUAAGUUGGGAGGCGUUACCAGCAGAAUAAGCACCGGCUAACUUCGUGCCAGCAGCCGCGGUAAUUC
rnacentral:rRNA from 1 species